rnacentral:rRNA from 1 species
GACGAACGCUGGCGGCGUGCUUAACACAUGCAAGUCGAACGGAAAGGCCCUGCUUUUGUGGGGUGCUCGAGUGGCGAACGGGUGAGUAACACGUGAGUAACCUGCCCUUGACUUUGGGAUAACUUCAGGAAACUGGGGCUAAUACCGGAUAGGAGCUCCUGCUGCAUGGUGGGGGUUGGAAAGUUUCGGCGGUUGGGGAUGGACUCGCGGCUUAUCAGCUUGUUGGUGGGGUAGUGGCUUACCAAGGCUUUGACGGGUAGCCGGCCUGAGAGGGUGACCGGCCACAUUGGGACUGAGAGACGGACCAGACUCCUACGGGAGGCAGCAGUGGGGAAUAUUGCACAAUGGGCGGAAGCCUGAUGCAGCAACGCCGCGUGCGGGAUGACGGCCUUCGAGUUGUAAACCGCUUUCGCCUGUGACGAAGCGUGAGUGACGGUAAUGGGUAAAGAAGCACCGGCUAACUACGUG